UGGGGGAUAUUGCACAAUGGGUGAAAGCCUGAUGCAGCGACGCCGCGUGGGGGAUGAAGGCCUUCGGGUUGUAAACUUCUUUUGCUCUGAACAAGGCGCACCAUGGGGUGUGUUGAGUGUAGGGGUUGAUUAGCGCCGGCUAACUACGUGCCAGCAGCCGCGGUAAUACGUAGGGCGCGAGCGUUGUCCGGAAUUAUUGGGCGUAAAGGGCUUGUAGGUGGCUGGUUGCGUCUGUCGUGAAAGCUCAUGGCUUAACUGUGGGUUUGCGGUGGGUACGGGCUGGCUUGAGUGCAGUAGGGGAGGCUGGAAUUCCUGGUGUAGCGGUGGAAUGCGCAGAUAUCAGGAGGAAUACCGGUGGCGAAGGCGGGUCUCUGGGCUGUUACUGACACUGAGGAGCGAAAGCAUGGGGAGCGAACAGG
rnacentral:rRNA from 1 species